rnacentral:lncRNA from 1 species
GCCGAAGCAACUGAGCCAGGAAAAGGCCAUGAAUUACAAGCCACUUCAUCAAAGCUUCCUAAGGAGCACAGGGCCAACUUUGGAAGAUUUCCAGUCGAGGUUUCCGCGGGUGAAAUGGGCUAGAACCUUUGAGCCGUUAAGAAGGAGGCUGAGUCUGUGCGAGACGCGCAACUUUGCUCCCGUUGAAGAAGAAACCUGGUGCUUCUCGCUGGGUGCAACAUUUGCAGCUUGAACUGGAGAGGACGUUUGUCCAGGGGUCUCCAUGAACACGUACGAAAUCCGUUAAUGUCAGUUUUAUUUCAUGCAUAGGGACAUGGCUCUUGAUGGACCUCUUUGGGCUUGUUUUCUUAUUGGCUUGGAGGCUGCCUGCCUGACAGCUGCCGUCCAGAUAUGCUGGGCCUGGUUGCCCGGCUUGUUGCCCUCAGCCUGCCGCCCACCUGAACUCUUUUGGGAGCAGCCAUGAGGCUCCCCAGGAUGACAGAGGCCCUGAGGGACCAGGGCAGUCCCCAGAUUCUCCCUGUCGAUCGGGAGUUAGGAGAAUGUCAUUUUUUCGGGUGAGAAUCCGGGAUAAAUGGGUCCACAAAAAUUCCCUCCGUCUGAGACUGCAGAGAACUUUUUUGUGUUCCUUGGUAGUGGACGGCUAAGAGAAGUACAGAGUCAUGCUAAAAUUAACAUCGGCAUACUGCAGAUUAAAGUAAACAUCUCGUCGUGGUGAGCCAAACCCUCGGAAGGGCCGGUCUCAAUCCUGGAACGGUUCCACUUCCCUCACGCUGGCAGUUAACGGCGAUAGUUUCGGGAGUCCAUUCGGCUUCAAAGAUCCCAGCUGCCCUGGGCCAGUAGGAACAGUGUUCAUACGUGGGCUCGUGAUGGGCGGUAAACUUCAUUCAUUCAUUCAUUCAUUCAAUAGUAUUUAUUGAGCGCUUACUCUGUGCAGAGCACUGUACUAAGCGCUUGGAAUGUACAAGUCGGCCACAGAACUUGCCUGUGCUCCCGUGAGUGCUUAAUACAGUUCUCUGCACACAGUAAGUGCUCAGUAAAUAUCAUUGCUUGAUACCACGGUAUGGUAGGCGAGAUGGAAAUGAUGGAGGUAGGAGAAGAGGCAGGAGGGGUCUCCCCUUUUUUUAUUUUACAGUGACUUAAAGUUCACAUCGACUGAAGAGCUUACUCUGUUUUUCUGUGUAAAUGGAUGGGAAAAAGAGGAGCUUGAAAGUUUUAAUUUUGAGUCCAGGAGCAAAAUGGGGG